rnacentral:rRNA from 1 species
GACGAACGCUGGCGGCGUGCCUAAUACAUGCAAGUCGAACGCAGUGGGGACGGGUGAGUAACACGUGGGUAACCUCCCAUCAGAGGGGAUAACACUUGGAAAAAGCUGCUAAACCGAUACUGAUGGAUGGACCCGCGGUGCAUUAGCUAGUUGGUGCGGUAACGGCUCACCAAGGCCACGAUGCAUAGCGGCCCUGAGAGGUUGAUCGGCCACACUGGAACUGAGACACGGCCCAGACUCCUACGGGAGGCAGCAGUGGGGAAUCUUGGGCAAGGGACGAAAGCCUGACCGAGCAACGCCGCGUGUGUGAAGAAGGUUUUCGGUUCGUAAAGCUCUGUUGUGGGGGAGGCGGUAUCUAACCAGAAAGCCACGGCUAACUCCGUGCCAGCAGCCGCGGUAAUAC